GAUGAAGAACGUAGCGAAAUGCGAUAAGUAAUGUGAAUUGCAGAAUUCAGUGAAUCAUCGAAUCUUUGAACGCACAUUGCGCCCGCCAGAAUUCUGGCGGGCAUGCCUGUUCGAGCGUCAUUACAACCCUCAGGCCCCCGGGCCUGGCGUUGGGGAUCGGCGGAGCCCCCCGUGGGCACACGCCGUCCCCCAAAUGCAGUGGCGGUCCCGCCGCAGCUUCCAUCGCGUAGUAGCUAACACCUCGCGACUGGAGAGCGGCGCGGCCACGCCGUAAAACACCCAACUCUUCUGAAGUUGACCUCGAAUCAGGUAGGAAUACCCGCUGAACUUAAGCAUAUCAAUAAGCGGAGGA
rnacentral:misc_RNA from 1 species